GGCUCAGUCCUAUGCGGCAAAGACCCGUGAACCCUGUCAGGCCCGGAAGGGAGCAGCAGUAAGCGGUGCACUUUGGGUGCCAUGGGGUCGCUGGGCUCCC
rnacentral:SRP_RNA from 1 species